UUGACGACAUUGACUAGGUUGGCAAUACGUGGAACAAAAAAAAUUAUCAUGCCAGACUGAUCAAAAUUUAAAAAAAAGGUAUUCCGAGCCCGAGAGAAAUAGUAAACUAUUAAUGACUUUUACCACAGCAUAAAUAAGAAAAAGCAACCAGUUAUAUGGAAAAAAAAUCAUGAAAGUACUCGGCAGGUGUUAAACCGAGCUCUUCCCUCCCACUGGAACACUUGUUCCACCUUGGCAAUCAAAACAUGUUCAUAUUGUCCCCAUACCUACCUCUUCUUUGGCACGUCACCCUCCUAACCUUCAAUUAAAUUUCCUUAUGGAGAAGACAUUUUAAUUCAUAUCCAUCGUUAUAAUUUUAUUUUUAAUUCAAGUUUCUUAAUUUUAAAUACCAUAAAUCGUGGAUCAUUUUAACUUUGAGAUUCACAUGGUUAAAAAGGUUUUUACUAGUGCAAAGAGUUUUUACUAGUGUAAAAUAUUCGAAAAUCGUAAGUAUUAUAAUUUUGAGCGUUGUACAUAAUAACGAAACUUAGGUAAGUACCACUUUUGGGGAUUUAUUUAAUAAAUUUAAUGUAAGAUGGCUGCUCUUCUUUUUUUUCCCAGGGAUGCUGAACAGAGGUCCUAUGAUAGCGGUGUUUGCUGGCAAUUGAGCUUAUUAUCGUCAGUUAAUCUCUGGAGUAAAAACAAAGGGACAACAUUAAGCUUUUGUGAAUGGGAGCAACUAACUCCUGGUGAUAAAUUACCUGUCCUACCUGCCUAGAGAGAGCUCUAUCUAUUCGGAGAGGAUAUGAGAAUAAAAAAAUUCGAAUAAUAAUGAAAACAAAAGGAAAUGUCUACCCUUAAGGCCACGUGUUUUCUAUACCCUUUUAUUCCAGGUUUAUGGGCUGUCCGUCCGUCGAAAGUAAUUAUCAAUAAGUUUGGAGGUACCUCAGCACCGCGGAAUGCCUGGUGCUCAACAGCGGAUCCAACGAUGAGCAGAGGAGUCGGGAUCGGUGGUCCAAAUAUCGUUAGCGAUGCUGGCAAAAGUGUUUGGUGCUGUAUUACUUCCUUUUGUUCAACAGUUAUUGAGGUUU